CGGCUCCCACCGGCGGGGUGCCAACGGUGGCGUGGAAAGGCGGCGGAGGGCUCUGUGACGGUGGAACCAAUGACCUCCAAAUCAAGGGCCACCCUCCUCAUCCGCUAAUGGCCAUCCUCACUACCCCCUUGCUCUGGCCGGUCUCAUUGCAUCCUUCACCACCACUGCCAUCGCAGGUCAGCACGGGGUGGGAUUCUCUUGGUCAGCUUCUCUCCUUGAUGAUUCCCUUCCUGCUCUCCUCCCAGUGAUUUUCUCUGUGGAUAACACCGUUCUUCUCUUCUGAAUCAAGUGAUGGGUGCAGCCCAAACUCCACUACAACACAGAUCUUUGAUGUUCGAGUUGAGCGGUCAACUUUCAGAUGGUAUAUGCAAAACCUACCAUGAGGCCAAGAUUCAGCACAGAGAAAAAACUUCAGACAAUCACGGCACCGCUCCAUGGCAUGUAAAUAGGGUGAAGGUCAUAAUGCAUACAGCUUGGUAAACAACCUCUUGGAUUGGUGGAGAAAAUAUUGUCUAUUAACAUUAUUCCAGAAGAUGGGAUUCCAUGUCAAAGAAAUUUGUAGCUUCAUCAUUUGCUUAUCCUUUGGAUGUGUUCUCAUCUCAGAUUUCAUUUACAGGUCAAAGUUGGUUUCAGGUAACCAGUUUUGUCUCACUGACCACUGAAGUUAUACUAAUGUGUUCCGGCACCGAUCCUAGCUGUUGAAGAAUUUGCUUUGCUCUAGAAAAUAAAUUUUUAUGUGAAGAGAUGUUUUCCCUGUAGGUCCAAGCACCAAAACUAAAACUGACAAUGAGAAACAAAAAUGGUGGACUGGUCAAGAACACCGCAUAAUUUUUUUUAUGUGAAGACAUUCUUUUAUUUACAUUUUUUAUGCGGUGCUGCAGUUUUAUUCCCCCUUUGUAAUUACAGCCUUAUAUCCAGAAGAAGAACAAUUACUACUUAGAGAUAUGUAAAUCUAGCUCUUUCUUGAAUUCUAUAUCUGCCCUCCCUUUGGAUUGUGUAUAAAUGGGUAAAGCUUGCUUUUUUUGUUUUGCCGUAUCUCUUCCUUUAGUGCAUGACUUCGAGGACCGAAAAACCACCUGCUGGCAUUUGAACUUCGUUUAUUUUAUUUGUAAAAAGAAUUUAAUUAAUGCACCUAAUAUACAUUUGGUCACUGCUCAGUUCCAAAUAGUUUAUCUGCAUUUUUGUACCUUAAGGUCUCCUUUUAUCUGCACUAUGAAUGGCAUCAGGGUUUUCGUGUGGUGAAAUCGUAAAAAGAAAUAGUAAAAAAAUUGUAUCAAACUGGCAAAACAUGUAUGCAUGUUUAUUUUGUCAUCCAUAUAUCAAAUCUAUGCUACCAACCUGCAAAGAUACGUUGUGGCGACCAUAGAAAACAGAAAAGUAGAACAAGUACAUCUGUUAGAUAUUGAUACGUAUGCACAUCUGUAAAUUUAACAUAUACUUGGCUGCAUGCUUGGCUGUGUAAAGUGUACAACAGAGAAAAUAUUAAACUGAACCAUGCCCGAUCUAAAAGGAAGACCCUGAUGUACACUUAACCAGUUGUCAACUGAAUAGCUGAACCUUAGUACUUUAUAUUCCGAUUUCAGGAUAGUAGUUUAACCCAAGAACACCAUCUUCAAGCUUUAUAUGCCUUAGACUGUUAACUGCACAUUGCAGAACCUUGCUGAACUAGAUAAUCAAUACUUUAUAUUCAGAUUUCAGGAUGGAAGCGUAACCCAUAAACACCAUCUUCAGGCUUUAUAGCAGGACCAUUUGUGCACAUUUUGCCUUAGACUAUCAACUGCACAGUGCAAAACCAUACUGGACUAGAUAGUCAAUACUUUAUUCUCAGAUUUCAGGAUAGAAGUGUGACCCAACAACACCAUCUUCAAGCUUUAUAGCAGGACCAUUUGUGUGCAGUUUCCUUAGACUGUUAACUGCACAGUGCAAAAGCAUGUUGGACUAGAUAAUCAGGUUUUAGUCCAUAUACUCUUAGGCCAAGGCCUUUAUUACUUAUUUAACCAUACUGUUGAAUUAGCAGUUUAGUACUUUAGGAGUUCCUUUUAGCACCAGUAAUUGUUUGUACCAGAUGUAAACAUGACACUAACAUACCAUCCCAAUUUUGGUGCUCUACCUUUAUACUGCUUAAUUUUAUAGCCCUAUCCACCUGCAUCUAUCUACAUUUUGAACGAAGGAUGCAGAUAAUUGAGAGAAACAGAGAUCACUCUAAUUAGAAAGAGCAAACCUUAACUUAUAAACCAAAUGGAAACAAAUUUAGGUUCCUUUGACUACCAAAUUUUGAUUACGUGAGAAUUGUUACCUUGCCUACUUACAGUCCUCCAAUUUGUUUUUACGCUUUCUAUUUUAAUCUGGGCGGAAGUUAACAGGAAAAAGCAUGACAAAAUGAAAAUACUUAUCUUAUUUUUUUGAUCCCCGUCAGUAAUACGUAGGCACAUAAGUGUGACAAUACAUCAAAGAGAACAAGAAUAUAAAUUACCUCAGCUCUUGUAUUUGCAGAUAAGUCAUGUGACAUCCUUCGCUCAAGUACCUUCGAUUUUUUCAAUAUCUAUGAGUGGGAAUUUCCCAGUUCAUUAUCCAAGAUAUGACCCAAUGUACAUUCAGCCUGUAGGUGGAUGAGGCUUUUGAAUCGGCAUCAUGAUGCAGGAGAUCUAGAUUUCUUAUCCGUGUGAUCAAUAGUCCCUAUAGUUUUUUGAUAUGCGUUGUGUUUUCUGAUGUAUUUUUAUGAUGUUUCACACCUGAUAUCCGCAAGAGUUUUUGUCACCUUUGUAGUAGCCACUUGGAUAUAUCAUUAUUGAAAGAACGUGUUACAAUUUAGAAUUUACCAUGUACUUCAAUCCAUAGUUCAUAUCAUUCCAGUCUAAGCUAGCUAUAUUUUCUUUUUACCUCAGAGACAAUCAGAAUAUAAAUGAUGGCAGCUCCGCUUCUCUUGAUAAUUUUGGAUGGGGGCUUGGGAGUGGCGGCGCAAGUAGCCUCGGCCUCAAUCUAUCGAUUUUAUGUUCUGUGCUGCAGAUUCCUGUUCGGACUGGCCUUCUUGUGAUCAUCAAGUUUCUCUUCGUUCCUAAGAGCGGAUGCCGGAUCGGUGCCCAUCGUGUCCAUCCGCCUCUACUCUGUCGUUACAUCGGCUUUGUACUGCUAGAGUCUUGAAGUGCAGUAGCAUCGGAGGGACCGUACACCUAAGGGCAGCAGGACUGGAACCGUGGUUAUGGUGGUAGCAGCGGCGGAUGGGAAUUGGUGGAGGAGACCAAUUCGGUGCUGGCCGGCGAGCACAACAUGGCAGGAGGUCUGAGAUGGCCAAGUUCGUCGUGCAGGAUUUCAUUGGUCGAGCAGAGGCUGCUGCACCUCUAUCCUGCCAAGCUGGAGUACUAAGUUUGUUCCUUCUUAGCCUUAGGCUGCAGUGAGCCACCGAAGAUCUCCAUAUGGCCACUUAUCUCUUCAUAUUCUCUUGGCAAUAUUCUGUUGCUACAAUUUUUUUGCUUGCCGAUUGAUGGUUUCAGUGAAGUGAACUAAAACGCAUGAGAUCUGCUCCAGCCCAAGAGUCUCUUUUUGGAAUAUUAUAGAUGUGUCUUGUGCAAUAAACUCAAGAUAGAGAAAAAAGAUAAUUCCUUCUUGAUAUGUCAGUUUGCCCGGACGCGCUGGAAAUAUAUAUGGCCAGGUUUCAGAACUACAAAUUUGUUCAUCAGAAUAUUAAAAAUAGGUUAUAUAUAUGUUUAGAGGACAGAAAUUCUCCUGGGCAAGCAUCCAAUUGAUUGUGCUUCCAACAAAAUAACAAGUCCAAAGCUCAGGCAGCUAAGAGAAGAAGAGGAGGAGGAGCAGGACAUACCAAAUCAGACUUCGUUUCGUCAGUCUAUUUCUUCAGAGGGCAAAGAAGUCAUCAUUCUUCAGUCGAUUACUUCAAAGGGCAAAGAACCAGUCGACGAGGAUAAUAGCUGACUGCUCCAACACCAGGGAACCACAACACCACCGGUCCUACUAUUCUACUUUCCUUUUUCGUUAAAAAUGUGUUAACAUGCUAUGUUCAUGUACUCUAUGUAUGCCAAUCCAAUCAGGUGCAAUAACUGGUUAGGUCGGCGAAUUAUGCUGGGUUCUGUAGUUAGCUCACAUAUAUACUAUAAAUUAUCAGUACCACUACCACCUAAUCUUUGUAUUGUGUGUGGAUUGACCCAAUCUUUCAUCAAUAUCCUAUACAAGUCUGUUGCGAACAUCAACAGCACUCUGGUAAAACUAUGCAAUGCAAUUCUUCAAAUUGAAGCUACAUUUCAGGCGAGGAGUUGUGUGGGGAUGUUGAUGUGGUCUUGGGGCUCAGGAAAAGUGGAUAAGUCGUUUUUGAGUGUUACAUGAUUAUGAGUUCAGUUUGGUUCUCUCUAUUCCUUACAAAUAAAAGAAUCUUCAGUUUAGGUUAGUGGAGUCUGUCUGAUGUAUAAUAUUUUGCUUCUCUCUGUUGUCUUUUCUUUAUUUUUAUGUAGUUCUACACAAGAAGAUUAUAAUAUACUUCAUGGUUCAAUUUUAGUUCUACACAUGAGGAUUUUAAAUCACAACUUUCUGCCUUUACUGACGAUUGUUGGGUUACUUCCACGGAUGCUAACACAUCAAUUUCUCAGUUUGCUAAAUAGUUUUCAGAAUUUUAGCUCCUGAAUGGUAGUGAUAUACUCUGCUGAAACAUCUUGGUUAACUGAAUGAUGCAUUUCCCAUUUGUUGAUGCUAAAAUUUUGAUCUGUUGUUUUAAUGCCAUUGCUGUGUUCCUGCUCUUUCUUCAUUUUUCAAUCCGUGCUUGAGUCGCAGUCGAGUCCUAGAGGUCUGCAUGUGGUUCCACUUUCUUCUUCUUGUUUUUCUUUUGUUCCUCCUAUUGUUCCAUUGGUUGUUUCCUUGCGUGUGUGCCAGUGGCUAGAUGAUGAUAAUCUACGCUCCGUUCUGACUAAAUAGUCUAUAUUUUCUUUCAUUGCUUUUGAAUAUCCUGGUGUAUCUAGAAAAUUUUGAUCAUAGACUAUGGAAGACAAACUAAGGUAUUUUCAGCUAGGAUCUACCAAAGUGUUCCUUUAUAUGCUUUUCAUAAUUCUCUUGCAGAUUCAGCUCGAGACUGUUAGGUAUGGAACUGUUUUAUCUCCGCGUGGUGCACUCUUCCUGUUGACAGAAAUAUAACAAAUAUUGGCAAAUCUGAGUGAAGAUCCAAUUCUCUUCAAGGUCAAGUGAGAAGGCAUAUAACAAAUAUGGGCAAAUCAUGUGGUUGUACAAUUUUAUUUCUAUAAAUGCACAUGCCUUUAUAUGUAAUUCUGAAAUUAUUACUCUGUUAUUUCUUACUGGUUCUGAAUUAACAAAAUAACCCCUAUUUGGAUGAUGGAAGAGAUUUCUACCACCCACCUCCCAAACUCUAUACCUAUCGACACUCAUAUAAAAGAAACAAAGGUUUGUCUUCUCCAAACUUUGUUUUGUAGUUCGCCUAAAUAAGUGGUUUUAUUUACAAGUGGACCUACCACUAAGUAUGGCACAUGUGAUUGUCAAUUUAUCAUGGAAGUUUUUUUCUGAAUUAUAAUUAUUUUUGUUGGCCAAUGGUCAUCUACCUGAAACAGUAUGGCCAUGCUGUGUCUACCAAAAUAAUUUUAACUUCCUGGUGUAAUAAUAUGGUCAUGUUAUUUUUCUUCUUUUCAAUUCUACAUAACUACUGGAAGUAGUCACAAUUACAAUUAUUCUUCAUAUACAUUUGUGCUCAUAUCAGAUAGGUAAUAGAAACUUAAACUUGACACAGGAAAAAGGUUUAUAUAAUCUUCCACACUGCUACUGUUCAGAGUAUUUUCAUAUUUGGAGUUUUUUUACAUAUCAGUUACUCAAUUCUAGCAAAGUUAUGUCAUGGUCCGUUCAUUUGCCAUGACAUCUUUGAACUCCCACUAUAUUCCCAUGAAUUAAGAGGACCCAAGCCCAUAUGUGAUCAUUUUUUGUCAGGGUACUAUUCAUACACGGUAUAGCUUUUACGCAACAUAGUUAGUACCAGUACCUGUUUGAUUUCCCUAGACUCUGAAAGAAUCUAUCUAGCCAUCCAGGUCUCACGAAAUAGUCCAUCCGAAUAGUUUCCAUUUCCUUCAGGAGCCUUGCAAUACUUGAAGCUAUAUUUUGUUGUAUAGUUAGUUCAUGUUACUAGGAAAAGUUAAGCAAGCUAUAUAUGUCCAAGAUACCUUAUCUUUGCAAAGUAUAUCACAGCUAAAUGAAGUCGAUAUCUUUUCUGGUACCUAUUACUGAUGUGUAAAUCUGAUGAACAUAUUGUGUCUUUGUCAAGAGACAUUUUUCUAAGGAAAUAGAUAACUCAUGUUAACCAGUGAUUCGAAUUGUUGAUGGCCUCAAGACAAAGGCGAGAUUAUCCAUCAGAGUGGCUUCUCUACCAAAUAAGCAAUGAAUGCGCUUUUAUGACUGGUGUUCUUAGGGACUUUCGAUGUUUCCAGAUGUUCCACUCAGCUUCAUGACUAUUGUUCUUGGGGACUUUUGAUGCUUUGAGAUCUUCUACUCUACAAGUCUAGAAUUCUGAUGAUCCAAAAGCUUAUGAGCAUAAUUUUACGUUGUAUAUUGGCUUGGCAUUUUGAGAACAGAAUAUUUACUACAACAUUUUCUGAAAAUGUCCCCAUGACA